AUUGAACGCUGGCGGCAGGCCUAACACAUGCAAGUCGAGCGGAGCGGCGGACGGGUGAGUAAUGCCUAGGAAUCUGCCUGGUAGUGGGGGAUAACGUCCGGAAACGGGCGCUAAUACCGCAUACUAUCAGAAGAGCCUAGGUCUGAUUAGCUAGUUGGUGGGGUAAAGGCCUACAAAGGCGACGAUCCGUAACUGGUCUGAGAGGAUGAUCAGUCACCCUGGAACUGAUACACGGUCCAGACUCCUACGGGAGGCAGCCGUUGGGAAUAUUUGACAAUGGGCGCAUGCCUUAUCCAUCCAUGCCGCGUGUGUGAAGAAGGUCUUCGGAUUUUAAAGCACUUUAAGUUGGGAGGCGUUCCCAACAGAAUAAGCACCGGCUAACUUCGUGCCAGCAGCCGCGGUAAUAC
rnacentral:rRNA from 1 species